rnacentral:rRNA from 1 species
UACGUAGGUGGCAAGCGUUGUCCGGACUUACUGGGCGUAAAGAGCGCGCAGGCGGUCGUUCAAGUCGCGUGUGAGAGCCCCCGGCUCAACUGGGGAGGGUCACGCGAUACUGAUCGACUCGAAGGCAGGAGAGGGUAGUGGAAUUCCCGGUGUAGUGGUGAAAUGCGUAGAUAUCGGGAGGAACACCAGUGGCGAAGGCGACUACCUGGCCUGUUCUUGACGCUGAGGCGCGAAAGCUAGGGGAGCAAACGGG